rnacentral:sRNA from 1 species
GUUAGAGUUAGAAGGUUCAGUGUUGAUGGAGUUAUUGAAGAAAUGAUAGAGUAAGAGACUCUUUUCUAAGCAACUCAAGUUUGCAGUGAUUCAGGCCUACUUCUGAAGAGACAGCCUUUUAUCUCAAUGAAUGACACAGGGUCUGAGAUUACUGACAUGCUUCCUGCUAUACCCAGCACUGAUUCCAAAUGGGACUGGGUCUGCAGAAAAACCAGCAGAUACUCCCUCUCAGGAAGAGGACUUUGGUGAUCCAAAGACAUAUGACCCAGAUUUCAAGGGGCCUGUUGCCAACAGACUAAACUGGGAACUCCGUGAGAGAAAUCAUCUUAUCUGUGUAGUUCACCAACGUUUCAUAGCGUCUGCCACAGUAUCCGGCACAAAAUAGGAGUUGUACAGAUGUUCUGUGCUGUAUGAUCUUCCUACUGUGCAUUAUUGGCUACAUUGUUUUAGGACUUGUGGCCUGGGUACAUGGGGACCCCAGAAGAGCAGCCUAUCCUACAGACAGCCAGGGCCACUUUUGUGGCCAGAAGGGCACCCCCAAUGAGAACAAGACCAUUUUGUUUUAUUUUAACCUGUUACGCUGUACCAGUCCCUCCGUGUUGCUAAACCUACAGUGCCCUACCACACAGAUCUGUGUCUCCAAGUGCCCAGAAAAAUUUUUAACCUAUGUGGAAAUGCAACUUUUGUACACAAAAGACAAAAGCUACUGGGAAGACUACCG